rnacentral:rRNA from 4 species
GAAGGUGGCCUGUGAGGGUUGCUGGAGGUAUCAGAAGUGCGAAUGCUGACAUAAGUAACGAUAAAGCGGGUGAAAAGCCCGCUCGCCGGAAGACCAAGGGUUCCUGUCCAACGUUAAUCGGGGCAGGGUGAGUCGACCCCUAAGGCGAGGCCGAAAGGCGUAGUCGAUGGGAAACGGGUUAAUAUUCCCGUACUUGGUGUUACUGCGAAGGGGGGACGGAGAAGGCUAUGUUGGCCGGGCGACGGUUGUCCCGGUUUAAGCGUGUAGGUGUGUGUUCCAGGUAAAUCCGGUUCACUUUAACACUGAGGCGUGACGACGAGGCACUACGGUGCUGAAGCAACAAAUGCCCUGCUUCCAGGAAAAGCCUCUAAGCAUCAGGUAACAUCAAAUCGUACCCCAAACCGACACAGGUGGUCAGGUAGAGAAUACCAAGGCGCUUGAGAGAACUCGGGUGAAGGAACUAGGCAAAAUGGUGCCGUAACUUCGGGAGAAGGCACGCUGACACGUAGGUGAAGUGAUUUACUCAUGGAGCUGAAGUCAGUCGAAGAUACCAGCUGGCUGCAACUGUUUAUUAAAAACACAGCACUGUGCAAACACGAAAGUGGACGUAUACGGUGUGACGCCUGCCCGGUGCCGGAAGGUUAAUUGAUGGGGUCAGCGCAAGCGAAGCUCCUGAUCGAAGCCCCGGUAAACGGCGGCCGUAACUAUAACGGUCCUAAGGUAGCGAAAUUCCUUGUCGGGUAAGUUCCGACCUGCACGAAUGGCGUAAUGAUGGCCAGGCUGUCUCCACCCGAGACUCAGUGAAAUUGAACUCGCUGUGAAGAUGCAGUGUACCCGCGGCAAGACGGAAAGACCCCGUGAACCUUUACUAUAGCUUGACACUGAACAUUGAGCCUUGAUGUGUAGGAUAGGUGGGAGGCUUUGAAGUGUGGACGCCAGUCUGCAUGGAGCCGACCUUGAAAUACCACCCUUUAAUGUUUGAUGUUCUAACGUGGACCCGUUACCCGGGUUGCGGACAGUGUCUGGUGGGUAGUUUGACUGGGGCGGUCUCCUCCUAAAGAGUAACGGAGGAGCACGAAGGUUGGCUAAUCCUGGUCGGACAUCAGGAGGUUAGUGCAAUGGCAUAAGCCAGCUUGACUGCGAGCGUGACGGCGCGAGCAGGUGCGAAAGCAGGUCAUAGUGAUCCGGUGGUUCUGAAUGGAAGGGCCAUCGCUCAACGGAUAAAAGGUACUCCGGGGAUAACAGGCUGAUACCGCCCAAGAGUUCAUAUCGACGGCGGUGUUUGGCACCUCGAUGUCGGCUCAUCACAUCCUGGGGCUGAAGUAGGUCCCAAGGGUAUGGCUGUUCGCCAUUUAAAGUGGUACGCGAGCUGGGUUUAGAACGUCGUGAGACAGUUCGGUCCCUAUCUGCCGUGGGCGCUGGAGAACUGAGGGGGGCUGCUCCUAGUACGAGAGGACCGGAGUGGACGCAUCACUGGUGUUCGGGUUGUCAUGCCAAUGGCACUGCCCGGUAGCUAAAUGCGGAAGAGAUAAGUGCUGAAAGCAUCUAAGCACGAAACUUGCCCCGAG